GUCCUAUGUUAACAUACUAUGAAUUGUUUAGUUAAUUGUGAUGCACAACAGCCUGUUGAAUUUCCAUAGCGUUUCUGAGUUCCACGGCUGCUUUUAAUUAACCGUAGCCGAGCUAUGACGAUGACGUGGAACUUGUUUUCCGUAUAGUGCUGACUACGGACAAGAUUUUCAUCGAAUUUUUAGCCAGUAAGUUGAGAACUUGUAAGAAAAAAAAAGAAAAAAGACAAGAAAGAAAAAAGACAAGAAAAACAAGAAAGAUGAUGACAUUGAAGAUGUUUUGAUGUUGCCUGACUCUUCAGGUUUUGUACAUCGCCAAGAAAUGCGACUCCUAACUUAUACUACAAGGACAAAAAACCCUGUUUUCAUAUAGUUGUGUUGUUCUAUCUAUAAAGUGCUCCGAGUGCAGAAGACGACGGCGUGUCGGCAUGUGCAAACUUUUACCAUGUCCAUGUGCAAAUUUUUUGGCAUGUACCAAAACCCGAAACAACCGGAACGAAACCCCCGGAACGAAACCAGC